GGCAGCGUGGCGUAGUGGUUUGUGUCUUGGACUACGACUCUGGAGACUUGGGUUCGAAUCCUGGCUGGGCCA